AGCAGCCGCGGUAAUUCCAGCUCCAAUAGCGUAUAUUAAAGUUGUUGCAGUUAAAAAGCUCGUAGUUGAACUUCGGGGUUUACCCAUUGGUCAGGCUUAAUUGUCUGCACUGGUGAGAUGAAUCUCUACCUUCUGAGGAACUUUCAUGCCAUUUAUUUGGUGUGAUGGGAAAUCAGGACUGUUACUUUGAAAAAAUUAGAGUGUUUAAAGCAGGCUAACGUCUGAAUACAUUAGCAUGGAAUAAUGAAAUAGGACGGACUGAUUCUAUUUCGUUGGUUUCUAGGAUCACCGUAAUGAUUAAUAGGGAUAGUUGGGGCAUUAGUAUUCAAUUGUCAGAGGUAAAUUCUUGGAUUUAUUGAAGACUAACUACUGCGAAAGCAUUUGCCAAGGAUGUUUUCAUUAAUCAAGAACGAAAGUUAGGGGAUCGAAGACGAUCAGAUACCGUCGUAGUCUUAACCAUAAACUAUGCCGACUAGGGAUCGGACGAAGUUAAUUUUAUAAUGACGCGUUCGGCACCUUACG
rnacentral:rRNA from 1 species